ACACCUUGAUCGAUCAGGGAAAAGACAUGCCACAUGUCUUAAUCCUUCGAUUUUGAAGCAAGGAAUACUUAAGUUGAAAAUUUUGUUUCGUCUCAUUUUCGUCUGAAGACUCUUUCUCUUUCCUCUCUUCCCCCUAUCCCCGAAACUUUCUCCUAAACCCUAUCUUUCUCGUGAAGCCCCUGCAAAGCCUAGCUUUGAUUUUCGUUCUCCAGUGACUGAUCUGAGAGUGGCCAAGCUUUCAAGAAACCUAAGACUUCCCACUACAGCUCUUAUCGUCCUUCUUUCCUUUCUCUACUUUUGAGAAAAACCCUAGAUUCCAGACCUGCAAAACCUCUCUCAAUUUCUAUCAAGGAUUUUCAAUCUCCCUCUGUAUCUCUUGUGAAUAGAAAUCAGACUCCGAGGUUUGAUGAUUCAGUUAACUAUGGAACAGAGCCAAAGGUCCUAAACCAAACUCCCCUUGAAGCCUAAGUUCGUGAUUUGGGCACAUCUUGAGGACGGUCGUAGAUCACAAAGGUCUUAAAAUCUUUCUGGAAACCCCCUCCCAAAAGAUAAGUAUGCAUUACAGUUUCUUGAUUUUUCGCUAUCAGUGUUGUUGUUCAUGUGGUUUGAGAUUUGGAUGUCUGAUUAUGUACAAAUAUGUGUGAGUUUAAGUUGAAAUGAAAGUCAGUGUGCUGCCUGGUGUUUCAAUGCUUGUGUGUGCACUAUGUAGCUCUAGAUCCAUUAUGGUUCAGGUUGGAGUUAGGGUUUCGGUUUUGGUAAGGCUUCAGGUUAGGGAUAGAGACGAGUUGAACCAUCUCUGACUAGGUUAGGGGUACCCGGGUUGACUCGGGAGAGUCAACUAGGAAUGAGUGAAGUUGGGGUAGACUCGUGCGAGUCAACCCGGGUGAGCUAAGUGCAUUAGGGUUAGUCCGAGUGAAGCUUGGCACGUGAAAUCAGACACGUGCAGGCCUGGUUGGGCAAUGGGCUUACUUACGGUUAUUCAUUUGGGCCUGUCUUGAUUUUUAAAACGUGGACCGGUCCAUUCAGAUUUUAAACAUGGCCUUUUCUGGAUUUUAAAACACGGGCUGGCCCAAAAAGGUUUUAAGACAAAGUCAUAGGUCGACCCAAUUCGAGUUUAAAAAUAGGGCCCUGUUUGGACUUUUUGAAACUGAGGGCCCAACUUCCAUUUUACAAAAGCAUGGCCUUAUUUUCUUCUAAAACGGGCCGGCCCAACUUCCAUUUUUAAUAACAAGGCCACGUAAGCUGAAACAGAGCUGGUGUCUUGGGGUCCUUUAAUGGGUUAAAUUCGGGUUGUUAAGACUCGAAGGCAGAUCAGGAUUAGUGGCUCGAGUUUGGUGAAUGUGAAAAGGUCCAAACCAAGGUCCAGGUUCGAGUCAGGGUUCAGGUCUGCGGGUUAUGGGUAUGAGGUUCCAAUCUGGAUUCAGAUCAAAGGAUCCGGAUCAAAUUCAGCCUGAAAUCCAGGUUCCAAUUUGAACCUGAAGCUUGGGGAAUAAACACUUGCAAUCGCACACUCACAGUACACAGUCUGAGAAUUAGGAUAAUGAAGAAAAAAUUACCUAGGGUCUUGUACUCCUCCAGUCCUCUUCUCCGGCAACUAGAUUUGAGUUGGUCUGAAUGUGAACUAUCUCUCGGCCAUAGCUCCCCUCUGCUCUAAACUCUCGGCCCCAAGUUCAACAACAUCUUUCCAACUAGCAGAACCUCCCCUCUCUUUCUGAUUUCUCCUCUAUUUCUUCAGCACUUCUUUAUGCUCUCUAUUUCUCUCUCUCUUUCUCUCUUUUUUUCACAGAAUUUUUCUAAGCUCUUUUUCCUUCAAACUAGCAAAACCUCCCCUCUCUCAAACUCAACAGGGUUUCUCCACUCCUCCUAUUCUAAUUUUUGUAGAGUGCUUUUACCCUCUUUCUUUCCUUCCUUGCUACAGUGAUGGGUUUCACCUUUUGUAGGGAGUCCGAGGGUGCAUUUGUCGCCAAUUUCAUUUCCUUGCCACUAACUUUGUCAGGGGAUAAUUUCCCUGCACAUGUGAUUGAUUUGAUUCCUUGAUCCUUGGCUAACCAACUUCCCUUUUCUUUUCUGUGCGCAGGCAAAAGUGAGAAGUCCAGGUGGCUACCCAGGAUUUGUGGGCAUUUUGGGGUGAUUCCAGCUGGUAGUAUUGGACUAGUGAUUUGGAAGAUGCUCUCUAGUUGGCAACCAAGGAUUGGAAGGGAUGGCAUCUUUGUGCAUUUUGAUUUUUUUUGAGUUUUAUAUGUAUAUUUUCUACUUUUGUCAUCUUUUGCAUGAAUGUAUACCCAAGUUGCUCCUCCUGCAACCAUUAUUUGUGUACUCCUGUUUAUGGUGAUUUAUUUUUUAAUUUUUUGCUAGUUUUUAAUAUAUAUGCCAUGUUAAUUCCA